UUACUCAUCCCACCCUAAGGUGAGAUACUUAUGAUCCUUGCAGAAAAAACGGGAAGACUUUGAAGUCUACCAACAUUGGCAUGCCAUAGAGUCAAUGAGCCUGAAAGGGAAGUACAAGUCCUUAUUUCUGAUAGAGUAGAAGGCUGGCAUGUUCCUACAGAUUAUUAUUUUUUUUCCAGAUCACCUUAGUUUCUGUCUGGCAACUUGCAGCUUGUGUAGCACUGCAAGGUAAAUGUAGCCAUGCUGUGCAGUGCUAGGACUGUGCCCAUCACCUCUGUGAGUGUCCUUUGAGCUUCAUGCUCCCAAGUCUGAGAAAUCAGCUAGCUGCAGAGCAGAUGAAGCAUGAACCUGUAAGGGCAGAUCUGCAACCAGCCUGAACUGGCACAUUUCCAGCAUAGUGGAGAAAGACGUUAUGCUGAUUUACACCCUUUGAGACUCGCCCAAGGUAAUGGCAUGCUCUCCUCUGACUUCAAUAGGAGCAGGCACUGGUGCUGGGAGAGAGGCUUCCUUCCACUAGAGGAAUAACACAGCUGUACACGAAGUCCAAGGGAGCGAAGCAUCAAAAGCUGCCUCAACAGCAGUGGUUAGGUUUAAACAAUAUGCACACCUUUAAUGUUCCUAAGAGACAGGUUUCAGAUGUGUGAGCCCAUUUUUUUGUCUUAUGCCAAGAAAACAGAUGUGUGAGUUGUUUCCUAAUUGCCACAGGCAGUGUCACAUGGCUAACUCAGCAUCUCCCAACACUGGGCGUCUGCCUAGGUGUGUGAUGAGCGGUGGGAGGAGAUCGUCUGGGUACACACAUUCCUCGUGGUAAGAAGGCAGAUUUAGGUCUGCAAAGCCCAUGACUAGCAAAUAUCAAGUACUUCAGACCUCUGCAUUAUGAAAUCACAGCUCUCGGAGUGCGUUGAUAACCUGUUACAGAGUUUGUAAGGUUUGGAUGGAAAGGGAACGUUGGCAAAUGUGGUGGCAAAUAGUGUACUGUGGGAAAUCCCUCUCAGAGGCACUGACAGUGAGCAGCUUCUGCUGCCCUGACUGGCCUAAGGAGCAGGGUCAAAAAUAAGUAACCAGCUUCUCUGUGCAGGUUGUUUUGUGUUCUACAAUUACCGUGAAAUCAAUGUGAGAGUACCUGAGCGUGGUACUGCCUGCUGGCUCAGAGUGGCAGAAAGAGGGUAUGCUCAGAGCAAACUACCUCAUAGACCCUUAAACUAACUUUUUGUUUUGUUUUGUUUUCAUUUUAAGGAAAUGUCUCAACACUAAUGUUGGAACCUCUUAUUCCCUUGCAAUUUGUCAUCCCUUAAUUGCUCAGCAAGGGGCUCAUCCUGCAGGGAAUGCUCCUGCUGCCUUUCAGUGCUCCGUGGUACCCUGCAUAGCUCUGCUGUUGGCCUCCUCGUUUCUCCCUGCCUCUUAUCUCUGGGCAGUCCCUGCCAGGAGCAUAAAUAUAACCCUGUCAUCUCUGUGGUGUCAUCUCCUGAGCUACAGCUGUGCUGCCGAACUGCCUCCUUCAGUUCAAACUGCAAUUUCGGCCUCACAAGCAUGUUUUGCAAGACAGAAGGAACAGCCUUUUAGGAGGGGAUGUGCUUACGCUCAGAGAGAGCUUCAGGAGCCGGGAAUGGAGUUGAGGAACAGAGAAGAGGAGAGGGGCUGCUGGACAGAAGUCUGAUUGUGGCCA